UGGGCUGGCCGGGCGACCGCGUUGGGGAAACCCACCGAGGAAGGUCCGGGCUCCACAGGGCAGGGUGGUGGCUAACGGCCACCCGAGGUGACUCGCGGGAAAGUGCCACAGAAAACAGACCGCCUCUUCGGAGGUAAGGGUGAAACGGUGGUGCAAGAGACCACCAGCGCGGCGGGCGACCGUCGCGGCUCGGCAAACCCCACCUGGAGCAAGAUCAGACAGUGAGCGUUCGAGGGCGGCCCGCCCGAGCUCACGGGUAGAUCGCAGGACGGUGUCGGCAACGGCACCGCUAGAUGGAUGGUCGCCAGCCGGGUCGUCGUGAGGCGGCCCGGGGAACAGAACCCGGCCUACGAGCCAGCCCAUCCG
rnacentral:RNase_P_RNA from 1 species